AGCGAACGCUGGCGGCAGGCUUAACACAUGCAAGUCGAGCGGGCGUAGCAAUACGUCAGCGGCAGACGGGUGAGUAACGCGUGGGAACGUACCUUUUGGUUCGGAACAACACAGGGAAACUUGUGCUAAUACCGGAUAAGCCCUUACGGGGAAAGAUUUAUCGCCGAAAGAUCGGCCCGCGUCUGAUUAGCUAGUUGGUGAGGUAACGGCUCACCAAGGCGACGAUCAGUAGCUGGUCUGAGAGGAUGACCAGCCCCAUUGGGACUGAGACACGGCCCAAACCCCCCAGGGGGGACGCGGGGGGAAAUUUUGGAAACUGGGGGAAACCCAGGACCACCCCUGCCGGGGUGGUAAUGAGGGCCUAGGGGUUGAAAAGCUUUUUUGCGCGGAAAGUUAUUGCGGGUCCCGAAAAAAAAGCCCCCGCCAACUUUCUU
rnacentral:rRNA from 1 species